UUGCUUCUUUUGGUUUUGUUCCUUGAUGGUCACUCUACUACAAACUUAGUAUCAAAUUUGAACUGUUGUCUUUCUUAUCCAAAAUAUGGUGUUCAUAAGUGCAAGGAGGAAUUCAAGCAAUCAUAUUUCAUGGAAAUGCACUCAAGAAUUCUGUUCUACGACAUGCCCACUUAGUAAAUCCAGUAAUGCUGCCACUUAUGUUUGCAUUAAGCUCCACAAUAUCUGACAUUUUCAGAGACAAGGGUAAUGCGCUGAUGGUUCUCGGCUCUGGUGCACUACAGGUGAUAAUAUAUGACAAACCAAAAUGUUGGAGCGUUGGUGGUUAUGGAAACUUGGGAAAAUUAAAAUAAAACAAUUGCUGGAAUUAAUAGAGGAAGAGAUUAUUUCAGGAAAAUCACAGUACAAGGUGCAAGUCAAUGAAAAGCUGGGGACAUUAUGACACAGAGAUAACGGCAUCAGGCGGAUUCCUACUGUUGAUCAGACUUGUAUGAUGGGAUGGUGUCCAUUGGAGAUGUUGUUUGUGCUGUUGCAAGUGAGCAGAAGAAUGAGCUGAACCGUGUAAAUGCUUACAUACAAGGAGUUUACUAGAUGAUGACAACAAUAAACAAAUGGAUCAUUCCCUUAAUCUUGUAUAUAUUUGCAUGCUUGAUUCUUCUAGUAUUUGUUUGCGCCUCUAGAUGUGGCCUACUGCACUACUUUUUCAGUUUAGUGUGCUUAUAACUGGCAGUUGUUUAAGAUAGUAAUUUUUUUGAACAAGAUAAAUGGUGUUUCGCCAUGUUUUAAGGGAACAAUAUCGACAUAUUCUUAAGUGCGUUAUGCGGUA